UGGGGAAUAUUGGACAAUGGGGGCAACCCUGAUCCAGCAAUGCCGCGUGUGUGAAGAAGGCCUGCGGGUUGUAAAGCACUUUUACCAGGGACGAUAAUGACGGUACCUGGAGAAUAAGCCCCGGCAAACUUCGUGCCAGCAGCCGCGGUAAUACGAAGGGGGCUAGCGUUGUUCGGAAUUACUGGGCGUAAAGCGCACGUAGGCGGAUUGUUAAGUCAGAGGUGAAAUCCCGGAGCUCAACUUCGGAACUGCCUUUGAUACUGGCAAUCUAGAGUCCGGAAGAGGUUAGUGGAAUUCCCAGUGUAGAGGUGAAAUUCGUAGAUAUUGGGAAGAACACCAGUGGCGAAGGCGGCUAACUGGUCCGGUACUGACGCUGAGGUGCGAAAGCGUGGGGAGCAAACAGGAUUAGAUACCCCAGUAGUCCCUGAGCGGGCUGGCAAGGCGCAU
rnacentral:rRNA from 1 species